UAACCCUGAACAGAGCAGGCAGGGUGCAAAUGUUUGUGAUUACAAAUGAAAUGUCAAAAUAUUUGCAUACUUCUGUUUAAUUUCCUUUCAUAAACAGAAAUUAUUUCACACAAAAUUCAGUGGUAUAAUGAAAAAACAACAAUAUUGUCUACUGAAGGAAAGGCAGAAAUGUGACAUAAUUUGACUAUAACAUGCCAGGAGGACUCUGACAUGAAUAAAGACAUAAGCCCACUGGUGGUGUGAGAACAUACUGGCACUCCUCCAAUAGGGACAUGCUAGAAAUUAUUCUAUAUACUCAUGCAUAAGUAAGAAAUGUUAUUCAAAAAAUCAACCAGCAAAACCUGGAUCAGCUUGACUAUGGGUCAAUAUGAAUACUGUACUAUAACUUUUUUUUUAAAAAAAGAGGAGCCAUCCCCUUCUCUUAGUCAAGUUGAUAAAGGUAAAAGCGUAGUCCAUCCCAGGAGAACCUAAAAGGAGCACUACUCUCUUCACAGUCGUGGCAUCUCUGGCCUUUUUGAGUACUUGGGUUGGGAAAUGAUAAUGGAGAUGGCCUGGAGCAACUGGCUCACUGGGGCAGCAUUGAUAUUUUCUCCUCUCCAUGGAAUGACCCAUGACAUCCACGGGUCACAUUAAAAUCCAUAAUUUGGGACCCAAAAUGUGUCAUUGGCUUAUACAUGAGUAUAUACAAUACAUUCUAAGCAGAUAUCUUAAUAUCCCAAUUCAGCACUCUUCAUUCGUAUGCCCUUCCAAUGUGUUCGACCAAUAGAAAAAAGCCUUAAUCUACUGGAACACAAAUUUAAGCUUAUGUCCAGGAUAUACUUCAGCAUUGUAGACUGAUGCAUUCUUUCAUUAUUAUUCACACAAAAAUGUUUGUUUACAAGUUUAUGGCCUAGAAUUAAACUCCAUUAAUAUCUUAAUCAUUCUAAGAACAUAGAGGGAUACAUAUGUUUUUAUGAACUGACAAAUUGGGAGCGUGUUGAACAACAAAAAUGAGUACAACAGUGCAAAGCUUCAAAUGCUUAGUUUUGGGGGGCUAUAAUUCCAUGAUCUACCAUUCAGUACAGUGAAAGUGGCCAUGCUGACCAGAGGAUUUGGAGAGAUGUAGUUCCAAAAUGUAUUCAGAUACAGACAUUUUAAAUCCUGUAUAAUUAAUAUUUAUCAAAAAUAUUGAAUAUUAAAUUAAGUUAUACUUUGGAUAUGAGAUAUUUCAAAUGAAAAAAAAGGCCAGAAGAGAGACACAGCAACAUAUACAGUGAAAGGGUGGGAUAAAGCUAAUGGGCAUCAUCCAGGCCCUAUGGGAGUUUUCAGUAUGUAUUUAUUGAGUUCUGUUCCUAAAAUAGAUUUAUACAUGCACAAAGAAGGAAAAAUUAAAGCACUGCUAUUUUCUUUGGGUAUGUGUGUGUAUUUCAAAAAUCUGAAUAAACUAUCAUAAAUGGUACUUCUACACAGGUUUUUAUGAGUCUUGAAGAACACAUGUGCUUAAUGUUCUGCCAUUUCAAAUGGUAUGUCUACUACUGUUAUUUUGAUCACAAUGUCCCCAUACUUGUUUGUAGAUCUUCCAGGACAUUUCCUAUCCACCUAGACUGUCACUGAAAGAAGAAGGACUUAAAAGAGCUGGACACCAAUACACGCAAACAUGAACUGGAGCAGAGUUGUAACUAUCAUGAUAUUACCAAUAGUUCGAAUUGCAACAAAGACACACUGAACAACAUGCUGCGGUGAAAGAAAAGAAAGAAAAGGAGAAUGUAUACAACUGGCAAAGAAAAUUCAGACAGAAACCUUAAGUCCUUUUGCUCUGUUGAUUGCCCUUAAAGGCCUUAAGACCCUUAAAACUCUCAGAAUCUUCACAACUGAAAUAGCACUUGAUCUAGACGAAAAAUAGAAGAAAAAAACAUUAGCUUGUUAUGACUCAAUUUUACUCAUCUACUAUGGUGAAACUACUUCCCAUUUUGAUGGCCACAUUUAAAAACAAUCCAGCAUGCAGAUCCUUUUGUGGAGUCUAUUUUUCUUACGUUGUUUCGAAAAGAAUGACUGCGAAUGGGGUCCUCAGCUGCAAGGGAAGCACUGCUAAG